CAAGUUAUCUUGAUAGAGUAUGCAGAUGCAGAGGCUGCAGGUCCUGGGGUCAAGCAGGAGAGGUCUGAAGGAGAGGAGGACCUACGGCACAAUAGAGACAUCCAGACUGGAGAGGCAGUAGAGCCCCCUGUAGCCACAGAGGACCCCACCACUGCCCCAGUGCAAGCCAGGACCCAAUGCAGCAUCACGGAGUCCAUGAAGACCUGCUAAUAUCCUGUGUUACUGGCGGGAGAGACUGGACCUCUGAGGCGGCUGGUCACAAACCUUGGCCCCGGAUCAGGACAAUGCAUCAGGAGCCCUUCCCGAGUCAGAACCCAACCGUGAGGGACAGACUCCACCACAACCACUACAUACAGUGCCUUCAGAAAGUAUUCACAGCCCUUGACUUUUUUCACAUUUUGUUG